GGUCAGUUAGCUCAGUCGGUUGAGCAUGGUGCUGAAAACACCAAGGUCACGGGUUCGAUCCUCACUUGGUCC
rfam:Apaloderma vittatum contig29813, whole genome shotgun sequence.